rnacentral:tRNA from 1 species
GCGGGCGUAGCUCAACGGUAGAGCCCUGGCCUUCCAAGCCAGUUGUGUGGGUUCGAUUCCCAUCGCCCGCUCCA